UUUAAUUAACUUUAAAUUGUUCACUUUAAUCAUAAUGUAUAAAUAUGCCUAUAAUAUAUUUUACUCUAUUUUAAUUAACUGAACACUUUCAUUUAGCUGAUGAUUAUAAAAAAAGAUUAAGUAAGUAAAUAUUAUGGCAUUUGACUAAAUAAGUAGUUUUAUAAUUUAAAUAUUGUGGAAUUAAAAUGAGUGUUAAUGCAUGUGCUCGGAACUAAAAUAUGCUAAUUUUUUAAUCUACUUUAUUAUGUUUAUUGUAAUGUUUCAAACACAUAAUAUUAAAACAGUCUGUCUCAUGGGUACCAUACUGCUAAUCAGCAUGGGAAAAAUGUAUAGACACCCUCAACUUAAAACCACUCAUUUUAUAAGAUAAAUCGCCUUCUACACAAAAUAUCUGCUAUUGUGCCACUGAAGUCAAACUUAGAACUAUUUAAGGAUACAAUGAAAGACAAGAUCACUCCCAAACCUGGGAACGACCUCCCACAAGUCAGACUCUCAGUCCAGGAGCUUAACAGAAUCACAAAAAACAAAUAUAUUCACUUCCCCCGAGGAAAUAAUCUAACAUCCGCAAAAUUCCAAGGAUACAAUGGCAUACCAAAUUCUUCAAUUAAACACCCAACAGCCCUGGCUAUCGUUAGACUAAAUAAUUUAUUCACGGCUUGUCUUAGAUAUUUCCAUUUUAUAAAACUCCGGAAUACUGUUACAAUAAUUAUGAUUCCCAAACCUCAAAAACAUCACAUUAUACCAAACAACCAAUACCAUCACGUCGAAAGUAUUCGACAAAAUACUUCAAUCCCUUCUCAAGGAACACACAUCAGGCAAAUAUGAGAGCGACAAGCGCUCAGAUACGGACACUCGAUUACAGCCCACCUAACAAAACUAAUUGACGAUCUGGCUAUCAAUACCAACGAACAGAUAUCCGGCAGCCAUAUUGGUUUUCAUUUUCCGCCUAAAUGACUCGUCCGUUAUCAUAAUGACCAUUAACCACUAAAGGUUAUAUUAUUCCGACUUUCACAAAAAGGUCCAUGUCCCCCGACACCCCCCAUUUCGAAUUCCUGGUCCAAAGCCGGGGCGAUCGUUUGUGCUUCGUGGAGGGGGUGCCGGGGGGGUGCCGGGGACAUGGAUCUUUCACAAAAAAAAAGAAAGAUUUUUGAGAUAUUUUUUUAAGAACCCCUGAACCUAAGUCAAUGAAAUAGUAACGAUUACGAUGUACGCGCCUCUCUGUGUAUCACAUAAUAUGACUGAUAUUGAUCAUAUUAAAAUAUUUAAUAAUAAAUACAUAUAAGACUAAACGAAUAUUAGAUAUUAACAGUAUAAAUAUAAAUAUUACUAAUUAUAUACAUCACAAGCUUCUCGUCAAAAUAAUAUAUUAAUUUUAUUAAAUACAAAUUAUUAAUUGUUGUUUAUAUCUUCGAAAAGAUAAUGGGCCUAAAUUAACCAGUUCGUGUGGGGGCCCAUGACGUGUUUAAAACGA